rnacentral:rRNA from 1 species
AGUGAACGCUGGCGGUAGGCCUAACACAUGCAAGUCGAACGGCAGCACAGUAAUAGCUUGCUCUUACGGGUGGCGAGUGGCGGACGGGUGAGGAAUACAUCGGAAUCUACUUUUUCGUGGGGGAUAACGUAGGGAAACUUACGCUAUUACCGCAUACGACCUACGGGUGAAAGCAUCGGAUCUUCGGACCUUGCGCGAUUGUAUGAGCCGAUGUCGGAUUAGCUAGUUGGCGGGGUAAAGGCCCACCAAGGCGACGAUCCGUAGCUGGUCUGAGAGGAUGAUCAGCCACACUGGAACUGAGACACGGUCCAGACUCCUACGGGAGGCAGCAGUGGGGAAUAUUGGACAAUGGGCGCAAGCCUGAUCCAGCCAUACCGCGUGGGUGAAGAAGGCCUUCGGGUUGUAAAGCCCUUUUGUUGGGAAAGAAAAGCAGCAGGUUAAUACCCCGCUGUUCUGACGGUACCCAAAGAAUAAGCACCGGCUAACUUCGUG